AACGAACGCUGGCGGCAUGCCUAACACAUGCAAGUCGAACGAGACCUUCGGGUCUAGUGGCGCACGGGUGCGUAACGCGUGGGAACCUGCCCUUAGGUUCGGAAUACCUCCCCGAAAGGGGUGCUAAUACCGGAUAAUGUCUUCGGACCAAAGAUUUAUCGCCUUUGGAUGGGCCCGCGUUGGAUUAGCUAGUUGGUAGGGUAAAAGCCUACCAAGGCGACGAUCCAUAGCUGGUCUGAGAGGAUGAUCAGCCACACUGGGAAUGAGACACGGCCCAGAAUCCUACGGGAGGCAGCAGUGGGGAAUAUUGGACAAUGGGCGAAAGCCUGAUCCAGCAAUGCCGGGUGAGUGAUGAAGGCCUUAGGGUUGUAAAGCUCUUUUACACGGGAUGAUAAUGACAGUACCGGGAGAAUAAGCUCCGGCUAACUCCGUG
rnacentral:rRNA from 1 species